CUGGGAAACUUUGUUCCGGGUCCACAAUACCUGUGCAGAUCCCGACCGGAUGCGGAGAAUCGAGCUGCCGGCCUUCCCGCGUGCAGAUGAGUUGUCUGCACAGCCUGAGAGUGUGUUGUGGCGCGGCCCCCCAUUGCCGAGUCUGCCCACACAGCACUGGCGAACGGAAAUUCGGACACUCGCUCCUCCCUGUAUCCCCAUGCCGGGAGCGGCCUGGCCCCCAGCCCCUGCUACUUUGCCCAAGAUGAUCCUCCAGACACCACAGUCACCACCACUCCAGCCUUAGGGCGUCAACAUGCCCGAGCCCUGGACACUGUCUUUUCUUCCAUCCCCCGCAUCCGUGUAGCUUCUCCUUGACCUAGGCCGAACUUGGAGAGGUGGAUGCCCCUUUAUUGUCCUGGAGCCCCUGGUUGUUGGCGGACCGUAUACCUGAACUUUCCUUGAUUCUGAUUCCCCACCCAACCACCCACCCAGCUCGCUCAGAUUGGUGAGGGAUUUGCAGAGUACAGAAAAGAGCCCCUCUCCUGAACUAGGGUGUGGAUGAGAGGCGUGUUGCGGGAAGGAAGUGGACGUACGGGACCAGAAAAGGGAGUGGAGGAAGAGAAUGAAACCCCGCGUCCCUGGGAGGCAAGAGUCGAAGGCGGAAAUUCAGAGUCUACGAUUUCCUUAUCUCUUGGAGGUGUGACCAGCAGAGUCUCUUUGCCCAGCUAUAGUCCAAGCAUUUCUCACGAUUGGGACCUCACGGACCUUCGGACCUUAAAGGUCCCCAAUGUACUAAAUGGAUUUCCUUUUUCUAAACCAGUGUGUGAAAAAUUUCAGAUGUCAAAGAGAUAGUCAAAAGAUGUUUCCUCAAGUUCAUGAAAGACAAAGAGAUAUAACAACAAUGGAUAAACAACAAGGUCCUGCUGUAUAGCAUGGGAAACUAUAUUCAAUGUCAUAUGAUAAGUCAUAAUGGAAAAGAUACAUAUUCUUUAUAUCUGAAUCAUGUUGCUUUACAGUAGAAAUUAACACAACAUUGUCAAACAACUACACUUAAAUAAAAUGCUUUUUAAAAUGGUGUGACAAAUUUGAAAUUUAAUGUAUGAUCCUAAUGGAUCCUGGAUCAGAAAAAUAAAAUUUAUUAUAAAGGA
ensembl:lncRNA